AGUAAAUAGAUACCCCGGUAGUCCCAGCCGUAAACGAUGCUCGCUAGGUGUCAGGCAUGGCGCGACCGUGUCUGGUGCCGCAGGGAAGCCGUGAAGCGAGCCACCUGGGAAGUACGGCCGCAAGGCUGAAACUUAAAGGAAUUGGCGGGGGAGCACAACAACGGGUGGAGCCUGCGGUUUAAUUGGACUCAACGCCGGACAACUCACCGGGGGCGACAGCAAUAUGUAGGCCAAGCUGAAGACUUUGCCUGAAUCGCUGAGAGGAGGUGCAUGGCCGUCGCCAGUUCGUACUGUGAAGCAUCCUGUUAAGUCAGGCAACGAGCGAGACCCGUGCCCACUGUUACCAGCAUGUCC
rnacentral:rRNA from 1 species